UGCCGUAUCUUCUGGAGAAGGCACGCUGGUGUGUAGGUUAAGUCCCUGCGGAUGGAGCUGAGACCAGUCGAAGAUACGAGCUGGCUGCAACUGUUUAUUAAAAACACAGCACUGUGCAAACACGAAUGUGGACGUAUACGGUGUGACGCCUGCCCGGCGCCGGAAGGUUAAUUGAUGGGGUUAUCCGUUAGGAGUAGCUGUUGAUAGAAGCCCCGGUAAACGGCGGCCGUAACUAUA
rnacentral:rRNA from 1 species